ensembl:lncRNA
CCUGCACAUAGCAGGGUGGUUGAAACUCGAUGGUCAUUGUGGUCCUUUUCAAUCCAGGCCAUCCUAUGAUUCUGUGAUUCUAAGCUAUAAACUACAGUGUUGUGUACAAACAAUUCCGAGAUGAAACAAGAGGCUGCUAAUACUAGAAAGCUUUGAGUAGACUUCUCAAGCAUAGUUUCCUUAGAUUACCUCUGUGAAGGCCUGACGAGUAUCUAAAUUGCUCAGUCUCCCUAUUGUAGUCAGUAUCUCAGAUGCUUAAUGUGACUUCCCCAGAAUUUUUACAUUUGUUUAACAUUAUUUUUUCUUCAGGAAAAUAAAACCAACUUGCACCCUCUAUCAUCUGACAGAAGAUAACCUCUAAGAACGUACCCCACUUCUUAUUCUUUGUUACAUUGGUGAGUUUCCUAUCUCAUAGUCUUUGGCCCAGAUUUUUAAAAUACAUAAAUCCCAGACAGCUUUUUCAGAGUUCCAGAAGUGGGAAACCUAUGCCUUUUUCUGCAGGAGUGGUGUUUUACUUCUUUCCCUCUCCCCCCCCCCCCCCCCCCGCCCUUCGUCUCUCUGGAAGCAGCUACAGAAUGCAAUUGCUGAAUCCAGCUGUGUAAAACUGCUUCCUGCUAAGUAAGCCUCGAUAACGACUCUACAGAUCCUCAUAAAAACAAAGCAAAACAAAACUUACAGUCCUCAUUUAGUUCAUUGCAAUAAAAGUUUAGGAUAUUGCUUUAUUGCUUUGACACUGCUUUCCAUGGCCUUGGCUUCAUAAGAUGCUCAUUUGUAAAGAAGGGGCCUCGAAUCAUCUGCAUUAGAUUUCUGUGGAUUUCUUUGGACUGCACAGCAUUUAGAAGGAAAGCGAGAAGUAGCCUGAAGUGUCCUAUCAGAAAAUUCUGGCUACGUGUCUUUCCUAUUGUAAAGCAAGUAAUUAAAGUCAGCACUCCCAUAUGAAAGCAUGUAUUGUUCCACACUUCUUAAAUUUAACAUGAAUUUUUAAACAGCUCUGUUGAAGAGAGUUAGAGAAGAAAGACUACUUAUUUGAUGAAUAAUAGAAUUUAUUUCAGUCUCAGCUUUGACCAAGUUAGAUAGGUGAUACAAAUUAUAAUUUAUGAUUUUAAUAUCUGCUCACGAGUUUAAUUUCCACAUGAAAUAUUAC